GCUUUCUUUAGCAAGUAAUCCAUGAUUUCAAAAGCACUUUUUCGCUCAGUGUUAGGGUCGGUAUUUAGAAAACUAUUUCUGAGUUAGAACUGCGCUGAACUCUGUCCGAAACAUUCUAAAUGAAAAGAAGUCAUGUGUGUGACUGAGAAUCCGUAGAGGAGCUCCUGAAGCAGGCCCUACUUCAAAGUUCCGACUGUUUAGCGCCUCCAAUAAGUGACGACUAUGUUCAUUAGAAAGAGAUUACAAGCAGAAAUCAAUUGCAAGUAUUUCAUGCAUUUUUGCAAGUCCACAUUGUCCGUUGGCCAUCUUUUCAUUGUGCUGUUGAGUGCAUCUUCGGCUUUGUUUUCAGUGGGUACGACUGGCUUUGGCGGAUGUAAGCCCUAUAUAGGGUUUCGAAAUCCCAACGCCGGCGAUGGCACUUCAAGGUAUUGUUAUAACGAGACUGCUAAAGUAUGUGUAAAGGAAGCGAAGAGAAAUGAUGGCCGCAAUUACAGGACAUGCUUUCCAUGGCCAGAAAUGUGUGUUUGGCACUGCGUAUCACCUCACGUCUGCCAUCUUAAAAAAGAAAACGGGGGUCAAGGUUGCCAAGGCGAAAAGCAGCUAAUGUAUUAUUUUGACGGAGGCAAGCAAAGCUGUGAGCUGUUUCUUUACGAAGGAUGUGGCGGAAAUGAAAACAGAUUUCAAACUAUGCAUGAAUGCGAAGUUACGUGUAGAGGCUCACCAUGCAUCACUACUCUCACUUUUGAUCCGGAGUAUUGCGCCGAGUCCUUGACCAUGGAUUUCUUUUAUUAUAGUACGGUCAAAGGUACUUGCAUAAAGCACGGAAAAUGCAACCGAGAUGGCAGUAACUAUAAAACAAUGAAAGACUGCAAACGGAGAUGCAUACUUAGAAGAAAUGCAACUUCCAAUUAAGGUUUCAUUGAUGGAGGAGCGUAAAUAAAAUGCUUAACUUCAAAAGGAACGCCUUACCGUCGACGCAUUUUCACAACUACCGAAAGCGCUGCAGACUUCUCUCUCAUACGUGAACAAAUCGGACAAUAAAUAAGUUCGCUU